UUUCAUCCAAUUAAGCAAACUGCUUCCAAAGCUUCCCAACUAUCAAUUCUGGCUCCACCCAACGAACGGAGAGAUCUCUAUGAAGGGGUAAAUAUUUUGAUUCUUGUAAAGGAUCACGUUAUAAGAACAAAAGGAAAUGAGCUUUCUAUUAGCUCUCCUCUUUUCGGGUGAAUUAGAGCCCCUUACAUUCCAAGUUAUAACAACCAUACUAUAUGAAUGUCCACUGCAUAAAAGAGUUCUCUAAAGGCUACCCUCCCCAUGAGACUAUGCAUAUAUAAUAUAAAAUAUAAUUUAGACCAGGGGCAUCCACAACAACCAUGGCCAAAAAAGGUGCUCAGAUAGGGCACUGCAAGAGAAAACAAUCCAUCUAUCAUAGAAAUUGAGCACCAAGAACAUUUAAUCCAAACAUUCAUUCUAAGUUCUGUACAAAAGAGAACCAUUCACAUAAUCAAACCAUCCCAUAAUGCAAGCAAACCAUAAUCCACGACCAGAGGUGUUAUAGCCCAAGCCCAAGCCCGAUUUAAAAGACCCAAG
rnacentral:lncRNA from 1 species